rnacentral:tRNA from 1 species
GGAAAGUGGGCAGGACGGUAAUGCGCGAGUUUUGAAAACUCGUGCCCGCAAGGGCUAAGAGGUUCGACCCCUCUACUUUCCG